GGUGACAUUGGAGUACAGUUCUCCAAAGCCAUCAGCUGAUGAUUGGAUAGGAGUAUUUUCUCCUGCCAAUUUCAAUGCUUCCACCUGCCCUGAAGUAAACCCUAGAGUUUAUCCUCCACUACUAUGUUCUGCACCUAUCAAGUAUCAGUUUGCAAACUACUCCAGUCCUGAGUACAAAGACAGUGGUAAAGGAUAUUUGAAGCUUCAGCUAAUUAAUCAGAGAUCAGAUUUCUCAUUUGCACUAU